GGGGGCGGAGCAAAGUGCGUCUGCCGCAUAAGAAGAGGUGUUCACACAGACAGAGCUGCUUUUUCAUCCACAGCGAGUAAAUAGUGAACCUCCAGGAGAGAAACAAACUAAAGUAUCGAUCAUAUACCACUACCAACGUUUGGAUCGAUAUCUGCAUCGAUCUGCACACCCUUGUCUCCUGGAUCGUAGCUGAGAUCAGCGUGAACCACGUGGGUCUCUGCUCCCUGACCUGUUUCCUGUUUGGAAAGAGUUCCAGCUUCAUCACGGAGUUUCUCUCGGUUUGUGGGCUCAUCUAAAGGACCAACGUGGAUCGAGAAGUCAGCGCUCUCAGGAGGCCGACAAUUUUGUUGAAGAAAGAAGUGGAAGAAAAAACUACAACCGUGACGAGUUUGGGAAAGAUUUUACUGUGAAAGCUUCCCUAAAAAUGCAUCAGGUCAUCCACACCGGAGAGAGACCAUUCAGCUGUGACGAGUGUGGAAAGUCUUUUACCAGGUCUGGAAACUUAAAAACACAUCAACUGAUCCACACUGGAGAGAGACCAUUCAGCUGUGACGAGUGUGGAAAGUCUUUUACCCACUCUGGAAGCUUAAAAACACACCAACUGAUCCACAGUGGACAGAGACCGUUCAGCUGUGAAGACUGUGGAAAGUCUUUUACGCAGUCUGGAAGCUUAAAAACACACAAACUCAUCCACACUGGAGAAAGACCGUUCAGCUGUGACGAGUGUGGAAAGUCUUUUAUGCACAUUUCAAACUUAAAAUCACACAAACUCAUCCACAGUGGAGAGAGACCGUUCAGCUGUAGAGACUGUGGAAAGUCUUUUACCGAGUCUGGAAAAUUAAAAGCACACAAACUCAUCCACACUGGAGAGAGACCAUUCAGCUGUGACAAGUGUGGAAAGUCUUUUACCCACUCUGGAAGCUUAAAAAUACACCAACUCAUCCACACUGGAGAGAGACUGUUCAGCUGUGAUGAAUGUGGAAAGUCUUUUACCCACUCUGGAAACUUAAAAACACACCAACUCAUUCACACCAGAGAGAGACUGUUCAGCUGUGGAGACUGUGGAAAGUCUUUUACCAGGUCUGGAAACUUAAAAGCACACCAACUAAUCCACACUGGAGAGAGACUGUUCAGCUGUGGAGACUGUGGAAAGUCUUUUACGCAGUCUGCAAACUUAAAAACACACCAACUCAUCCACACUGGAGAGAGACCGUUCAGCUGUGACGAGUGUGGAAAGUCUUUUACCCACUCUAAAAGCUUAAAAACACACCAACUAAUCCACACUGGAGAGAGGCCGUUCAGCUGUGGAGACUGUGGAAAGUUUUUUACCCAGUCUCGAACAUUAAAAACACACCAACUAAUCCACACUGGAGAGAGGCCGUUCAGCUGUGGAGACUGUGGAAAGUCUUUUACGCAGUCUGGAAACUUAAAAACACACCAACUAAUCCACAGUGGACAGAGACCAUUCAGCUGUGACGAGUGUGGAAAGUCUUUUACGCUCUUUUCACACUUAAAAUCACAUCAACUCAUCCACAGUGGAGUUAAAGCGUACACCUGUGAUCAGUGUGGCAGAGCUUUUACUCACAGUUACAGCUUACAGUGUCAUCUAGUUACCCACUCUGGAAUUAAGGCGUACAGCUGUGACAUUUGUGGAAAAACUUUCAGCCGGAUGGGGAGCCGAAAUACACACCUACGCAUUCACACCAGACAUGAUGUGUACAGCUGUGAUCAGUGUGGUAAACAGUUUACUACAAACACAGAGUUACGACAUCACAUGUUUACCCACACUGAGGAACGACCUUAUAAAUGUGACCUGUGUGAGAACACUUUUAAAUCUCCACGUUACCUGAAAGGACACCAACAGAUCCACACCAGAAAGACUCCACAAGGGCAGUUACUGUGAGAAGCAGAGCGACACAGAUGGAUCAAGUUCUCAACCCUGUCAUCGCUGUGGGAAAGACUUUUGUUGUGACCUUUGUGGAAAACCUUUAAGUCAUUGAAGGACUCUGAAAAUACAUCAACGUAGACACACUGGAGACAAAAUGAACUACUGUAGAGAAUGCGGGAGAGGCUUCACCACUUCAAAGGACUUCAAACAAUAUGAACUCCUUCACAGUGGCAUCAAAAAGCAUGUCUGCGAUCAGUGUGGGUCAUCCUUCAUCAGUGCACGUCACCUUGAAAGGCAUAAACGAGUCCACACAUGAGAGAAACCAUACAAGUGCAGACACUGUGACAAAACCUUUUCACAAUCAUGUGAUCAUACUAAGCAUGAACGCAGACACAUGAAAGAGAACUUCAUCUGUGAAAGAGUUUGAGUAAUCUCAGUUCAUACUCCACUCAGAAACGAUUCCAUGUUACAAAUAAACUGUUACGUCUUGAUUCCUGCUUUUACUUUAAUCUUGUAAACAGUACAUUUGGAUAACGACUGAAACCGGCCCAUUGAAUGAACAAUGGGCUGUGAGGUCAAUUUCUUCAUCAUUAAUAUGCAAAUUCUUAUGAGCAUUGAUCAACAACCACUGGUCAAUGGCCAUGAGUACCAUUCGCAGAGUAAAUAUUUGCAUAAUGAUUAUGAAGUUUACUGUUACCAAUGUUCAAAAACAUUUACUAAAUUAUCUUCUCUGUGCAAACAUCAGCGUGAUGCAGGACUGAAAUCAUUGCCAUCUCUGGAUCACAGUGAAUCUGCAGAGACAGAAAGAUCCUCUUCUGGUUUCAGGGUUAGACUUAAACCCUUGAGAUCAGGCUCCACAGAGUUCAGGUGGAGUCUUCUGUAAAGAUCUGAUGAGGCAGCUAUGAAUGAAAAUGUGCCUCUUGUUACAUUUUAAGCUUUCUAAACUGUUCUACUGUAGUGUUUGUGUUGAGUGGUUCGCUUUGUUCCAGCAGUUUGAUUAAGAAAUCUGUUUCCUGUUAUAUUUUUAUUGAAUGCAUUGAUCCAUGUGUUCU